rnacentral:rRNA from 1 species
AAAAAGCGGAGGAAAAGAAACCAACCGGGAUUGCCUUAGUAACGGCGAGUGAAGCGGCAAAAGCUCAAAUUUGAAAUCUGGUACCUUCGGUGCCCGAGUUGUAAUUUGGAGAGGGCAACUUUGGGGCCGUUCCUUGUCUAUGUUCCUUGGAACAGGACGUCAUAGAGGGUGAGAAUCCCGUGUGGCGAGGAGUGCGGUUCUUUGUAAAGUGCCUUCGAAGAGUCGAGUUGUUUGGGAAUGCAGCUCUAAGUGGGUGGUAAAUUCCAUCUAAAGCUAAAUAUUGGCGAGAGACCGAUAGCGAACAAGUACAGUGAUGGAAAGAUGAAAAGAACUUUGAAAAGAGAGUGAAAAAGUACGUGAAAUUGUUGAAAGGGAAGGGCAUUUGAUCAGACAUGGUGUUUUGUGCCCUCUGCUCCUUGUGGGUAGGGGAAUCUCGCAUUUCACUGGGCCAGCAUCAGUUUUGGUGGCAGGAUAAAUCCAUAGGAAUGUAGCUUGCCUCGGUAAGUAUUAUAGCCUGUGGGAAUACUGCCAGCUGGGACUGAGGACUGCGACGUAAGUCAAGGAUGCUGGCAUAAUGGUUAUAUGCCGCCCGUCUUGAAACACGGACCAACA